CAGCUCUCAUUGUGGGGAAAGCCAACUGUAAGGACCCACAGGCAGCUCUAAUAGGAGGCCCACAUAGGGAACAACUGAAGUCUCCUGCAACAGCCAGCACCAACACGUACCAGAUAACUGAGCGACCCACCUUGCAAGUAGUACCUGCCGUCCUAGUUAAGCCUCCUAAUUACUGCAGCAGCAGUCAGCACGGCCUGUGCUCUCAGGAGAGACCCUGAGAUAGAGCUACCAGCCCAGCUGCUCUGAAAUUCCUGAUCCACAGAAACCAUGAAAGUCUCAUAUUAGCCUUCAGAGUGGGAACAAAAUAAGAAAUUACCUGGAAAGACUGGCCUGUGUUGUGACAACUUUUCAAGCCUGAAAUUACAGACUGACCAGUUAGUAUACUUUGGGAAGGAAGUAACGAAAUUCACUUCAAUGCCACUGCUUUAAAUUGACUCACAAAGGAAGGGGUGCAGGGCCGGCUUCACUCUUUAUGAGGCCAGAAGUCUGAAAUCGGUUUCACUGGGCUAAAGUCAAGAUGUCGGCAUGGCUGAUUCCUUCAGGAAGCUGAGGGAGAGCAUCUGUUCCAUUUUCUAGAGGCCACCUGUGUUCCUUGGCUCAGGGCCCUUUCCUCCACCUUCAAAGCUCAUUCCUCUGAUCUCUACUUUUCUCUUCCGGUCUCUGCAACUGGCUUUCUCUCUUUCUGACUCUGACUCCUCCUGCUUCUCCCUUGUGAUUGCAUUGGUCCUACCCUGAUCAUUGCCUCAGCUCAAAAUCCUUACUUGAAUCUCAUCUACAAAGUGUCUUUUACCAGGGAAGGUGAAAUGGUCACAAGUUCCAGGGAUUGGAACACGAACAUCUUUGGAGCCACUGCAACACAAACACUCAAUCUGUUUCCAUUUUCUAAUUACGUGUGGAAUAAAUUUCACGUUUGAAUUGUA